UACGGAGGGUGCGAGCGUUGUCCGGAAUCACUGGGCGUAAAGGCGCGUAGGCGGCCUGAUAAGUAGGGGGUGAAAUCCUGCGGCUUAACCGCAGGGCUGCCCUUCUAAACUGUCAGGCUCGAGCACAGUAGAGGCAGGUGGAAUUCCCGGUGUAGCGGUGGAAUGCGUAGAGAUCGGAAGAACAUCAGUGGCGAAGGCGGCCUGGCUGGGCUGUUGCUGACGCUGAGGCGCGAGCAGCGUGGGGA
rnacentral:rRNA from 1 species